rnacentral:rRNA from 1 species
UACAGAGGGGGCAAGCGUUAUUCGGAAUUAUUGGGCGUAAAGGGCGCGUAGGCGGCUUUUCAAGUGGCGGGUGAAAGCCCUCGGCUUAACCGAGGAACUGCCUGUCAGACUGGAUCGCUUGAGACCGGGAGAGGUGAGUGGAAUUCCCAGUGUAGCGGUGAAAUGCGUAGAUAUUGGGAGGAACACCAGUGGCGAAGGCGGCUCACUGGACCGGUACUGACGCUGAGGCGCGAAAGCGUGGGGAGCAAACAGG